CUGAUGCAGCGACGCCGCGUGAGGGAUGACGGCCUUCGGGUUGUAAACCUCUUUCAGCAGGGACGAAGCGAAAGUGACGGUACCUGCAGAAGAAGCACCGGCCAACUACGUGCCAGCAGCCGCGGUAAUACGUAGGGUGCGAGCGUUGUCCGGAAUUACUGGGCGUAAAGAGCUCGUAGGCGGUUUGUCGCGUCGUCUGUGAAAACCAGCAGCUCAACUGCUGGCUUGCAGGCGAUACGGGCAGACUUGAGUACUGCAGGGGAGACUGGAAUUCCUGGUGUAGCGGUGAAAUGCGCAGAUAUCAGGAGGAACACCGGUGGCGAAGGCGGGUCUCUGGGCAGUAACUGACGCUGAGGAGCGAAAGCGUGGGUAGCGAACAGGAUUAGAUACCCUGGUAGUCCACGCCGUAAACGGUGGGCGCUAGGUGUGGGUUUCCUUCCACGGGAUCCGUGCCGUACCUAACGCAUUAAGCGCCCCGCCGGGGGAGUACGGCCGCAAGGCUAAAACUCAAAGGAAUUGACGGGGGCCCGCACAAGCGGCGGAGCAGGUGGAUUAAUUCGAUGCAACGCGAAAAACCUUACCUGGGUUUGACAUAUACCGGAAAGCCGUAAAGAUACGGCCCCCCUUGUGG
rnacentral:rRNA from 1 species